rnacentral:lncRNA from 10 species
CUUUCAAAACCAGUAUGCUGGAUUCUCCUAAUGCUAAGAAAAAGAUUGUGAGUUGUAGAUCUACAGUAAAUUAAAAGGUAAAACAUGACAAUGAUUUGCAAAAAUAUGUCUAAGAAAGUUGUGUUUUAACGAAAAUUCAAGUGAAGGGAAGGUUUUAUUUUUUUAUUUAUUUCUUUUCUCUUUUUUCUUUUUUUUUUAGAUCGAGUCUUGCUCUGUUGCCCAGGCUGGAGUACAGUGGCAUGAUCUUGGCUCACUGGAACCUCCGCCUCCUGGGUUGAAGCAAUUCUCCUGCCUCAGCCUUUCAAGUAGCUGGGACUACAGGCGCACACCACCAUGCCUGGCUAAUUUUUGUUAUUUUAGUAAAGACGGGGUUUCACCAUAUUGGCCAAGCUAGUCUUGAACUCCUGACCUUGUGGUCCACCUGCCUUGGCCUCCCAAAGUGCUGGGAUUACAGGCACGAGCCACCACACCUGGACAGUGAAAAGAAGUUUAAGCACCAAAGUGGUCUCCUUUGGGUCAUGUGUCAUCUUUCUCCAGUGUAUUUGAAAAAGUAAGAGGGUUUGUCUCACAAGAACUCAUCAGUUAUCCCCAUGACAGAUCUCUGCUGACCCUCCUACUCCCUUCUCUGUGGUUGGUUACUUCUUACUUCACCCACAGAGUUCACAUGGAAUUUCAACCCUGGCUCUCGCUGACCCAGUGUGUGCCAAUGCUGACCUCUCCAGAAUGGAAAUAUGAAGAUGGUACCAUUUCUUUCAACCCUGAACUUCAUUCUACAUAUAGAAACCUCCACUUUACUGAAUGUUUGAAAAUAUCUAGAAAGCAUUACAACUUAAGACGUAUGGAGGAGGAAGAGGUUACCUUCAAAGUUAUGCUAACUGUGACUCUCUUGGGAAUCUAAGAAAAAAAAUUAAAACUUUGCCUUCCACAAGAGAACGUCUCAUGGGAAACUCCCUGUUUUUAGAGUUUAUUUUUCUAUGUGGAGAUCUAAUCUACAUUCUUUCAGAGGUGGUCGUGUCCUUAAUUCUUUGGUACAAAUCUCCACCACUCUUCAGGAGGUCCUAGUUCCUUCCCUUCAGAGGGAUCAGACCUACUCCUUAAGCCCUGUAGCUCAUUCAUUCCCCCAAAUUGAAUUCCUGAGUAGAGAAUAGUAGUACGUCAAGGUGCUUCAGCAGGCGAGUAUAGUAAGUACUUGGUACUAGACUCAGGAAACAUCAGUCUAGUGUAGAUUUUGAGAGCCAAACUAUGGUCUGCUCUAAGUUUCUCCACCUUUGUGAGGUAAAGACAUGCUUUCUUGGUCUCCUGGUAACAGCCAGAGUAUAUACAUAUGUAUACAUAUGUAUAUAUACCUAUAAAAUGUGUGUGUGUGUGUAUAUAUAUAUAUGUUUUAACUGUAGUUAUACACACACACAAUUCUCAUAAUAUGAAUGUAAAAAAUAAAAUGUUUUGAUUUUAAUUUCUCUAAUGACCAGUGAUGAUGAGCUUUCUUUCAUGUUUGUUGGAUGCAUAAAUGUCUUCUUUUAAGAAGUGUCUGUUCAUAUCCUUUGCCCAUGUUUUGAUGGUGUUGUUUUUUUUCUUGUAAAUUUGUUUAAGUUCUUUGUAGAUUCUGGAUACUAGUUCUUUGUCAGAUGGAUAGAUUGCAAAAAUAUUCUCUCAUUCUGUAGGUUGCCUGUUCACUCUGAUGAUA